rnacentral:rRNA from 1 species
CUACGGGUUGCAGCAGUGGGGAAUAUUGCACAAUGGGCGCAAGCCUGAUGCAGCCAUGCCGCGUGUAUGAAGAAGGCCUUCGGGUUGUAAAGUACUUUCAGCGGGGAGGAAGGGAGUAAAGUUAAUACCUUUGCUCAUUGACGUUACCCGCAGAAGAAGCACCGGCUAACUCCGUGCCAGCAGCCGCGGUAAUACGGAGGGUGCAGGCGUUAAUCGGAAUGACUGGGCGUAAAGCGCACGCAGGCGGUUUGUUAAGUCAGAUGUGAAAUCCCCGGGCUCAACCUGGGAACUGCAUCUGAUACUGGCAAGCUUGAGUCUCGUAGAGGGGGGUAGAAUUCCAGGUGUAGCGGUGAAAUGCGUAGAGAUCUGGAGGAAUACCGGUGGCGAAGGCGGCCCCCUGGACGAAGACUGACGCUCAGGUGCGAAAGCGUGGGGAGCAAACAGGAUUAGAUACCCCAGUAGUC